CACCGCCCGUCACACCAUGGGAGUUGGCUGCACCAGAAGCAGGUAGCUUAACCGCAAGGGGGGCGCUUGCCACGGUGUGGUCAAUGACUGGGGUG
rnacentral:rRNA from 1 species